rnacentral:lncRNA from 10 species
CUGCCCUUGGUUCCUACCCCACCCCUCUGUCCACUCCCCCACUCACACACGCACGCACGCACGCAAUUAUAACCCCCUUAGGGACAGCCGUUGUGUCUGCUGUAGUUUAGCCUUGGAUUCAUCAUGGCUUCGACAUCGCCGGCCCUGGGCCAGUGUUCGAGAGCAUGGCCCCAAACAGUUCUUGCUCUGUUCAGCUCCCCACAUUGCCAAGCUGCGAGCGGGCUCUCUGUGCUUCCUGCCUUCUGUCUGCCUCGCCUGUUCUCUCCAGGCAAACCCACAAUGCCACACAGGACACCGACCAACAACUGAAAACGGUGACAGCUGCCCUUACCCGCAGCUCCCCAGCGUAGCCCUCCCCCAUCGCAGCCAGACCGGCUUGCCCACUGCGCAGCAAGGCGGAGCCCCGCACAGCUAAGCCCGGGCGUGGUGCUCGCGGCGCCCUCUGCUGGCCGGGCCCACGGCCUCCUCCUGCGCACGCGCGCCGCCACCCCGGGACCAGACCUAAAGGGAGAAGGCGCGAUCUGGGGCCCUCCCUCCGCACCCCCUCGCCCCGAGAAGCCCCAAACCCAGGUCUUUGACCCUCAUGAACAUCCUUUGUCCUUCCUCUCUCCUGCUCCCCCUGCAAACAUUUUAGGCAUCCCUAAAUGAUCACCAGCCCUCGCCUGCUCUCUUAGCAGGCCUCCAGGUGGGGUUAGAAUUGUCAAAUGCUGGCACAGGACGAAACCCUAAUAAUAAUAACUAUGAUGAUGACGGCAGCUGCUGCUGAGCGGGCACUUUGUGGUUACCUUAGCAACCUUCCACCAUCCAGGAAGUGCAGCCCCUUCUUUCACAGGCGGCAGCUGCAGCCAGAGGCGUGCGGGGACUUCCCAAGGUCACACAGCAAGAAUCCUAAGAAACCCGGGGUGUUUCCUCUGCCUACGUGGAGCUAACCCUGCCUCCAGAAGCAGGGGCCUUGAGAUGGGAGCAGAGCGAUCUGGUGCCCCGGAAACCCCACCCCCACCCCCACCUUGCCCCAUGCGCAGCGAACGUGGCUACAUUUCCUAUCGUUUGUCCAACCCAUCAUUUUGCCUUUGGGAAAAUUGCAGGGGAGGUGGAGGCCAGAGGACAGGGAGACAAACGUUCGUGGGCAUCUGCCACGAGCACAUUUGCCACGCUUUGUGACAGGCCCUUUCCCGUUACACACCACACCUGCCCAGGACCGCAGCACAGAACCAGGACCCAAACCCGCCGACUCCCUCCCUAGUGCUCCUUCCUCACCCCCCACCCCCUCCCCCCUCCGCAAGUUCUCUCUUGGAAAAGGGGCCGCUGGGAAGGGGAGGAAACGCACUCACUACAGGACUCCAGGUGGGGUCCAGAGGCUCUGCCCCUGGUGCCUCUUCCCCAGCCCUAAAGCCCCCAGCCCUAGAGAGGGGACCCUCCUGCACAACAUCUCCAGGGGACCGGGUACUCCACUAGGGUCGAGAAACGUUGAAUAGUGCGGUGGGUGCGGGAGGCGCGCCUAGGUGCCGAAACCCGGUCUGUGCUGCCAUCCUGUGGCCAUUGCAGGAAGUGUGCCUGUCAGGCCGCUCUGCAUUGAACCUGAAAUGCCGGGUCACCCUUGGGUUGAGUGAAACCGGGCCCCAUGCUGAGGCUACAAGGGACAUAGAAAGGGACAAGACGCAGCCCGUGCCCUGAAAGAGCUUACAGUUCGGUAGGAUGGCCUUCAAAUGACAUGAUCCAACACUCAACUCGGCGCCAGAUACCGCCCAAAAUAGAAGAUCGUGCAAAAGGUUCCAAAAGGUGGAGGCAGCCUGCCCCGAAGCACAUCGAGAAAGCCCUCCUGCAGCAAAGCCGUGUCGAGACUGGGCCUUACAGGGCAGGCGGGGCUGGGGCAAACAGAGAUGAAGGAAGGCGCUCCAGGCGGAGAGACCAGCCUGAGCAAAGGCACAGGGGCAGGAAACACGGAUUCUCAGGAAUCCAGCUUGUCCCAAGUCUAGGUCAACUGUGAAGGGGAGAGCAGCAUGGCCAGGUCCUCCAGUGCCCAGGUAGGAGGUUUCACUUAACCCUUUAGGCCACGCGGCCAACAAAGGUCUUUGAGCAAGCCAGCAGCUUGACCAGAAGUCUGUCCAGGAAAAGAGCAUGAUAGCUGGGGAACGGGGGCAAAUGGGUGAGGUUUCAGAGCAAUUAGGAAGGAAGGAGAACAGGAGGAGGCAUGAGCGACGCGGAUGGUGGUGCCACUGGCAGAGCUGGGAAGUCAGGGGCCACGCAGGGGAGACCAGGGCUGGGGUUUAAGUUCCUGGCAGAACAUCCCAGUGAAGACGUCCUUCAGGAAGCCAGAAAGAAUACAUUAAUAAAAGAGGAAGUAAUAGUUAUUGCUCAUAUGUGUACAGACUUUAUAGUAAAUAAAGCAGCUUAAUCCAUCA